rnacentral:lncRNA from 1 species
UAUACUAUUUUAACAGGUUUUAUUUUAUCUCCUGUGUGUUUUUUUCCUCCUUGUUUUAGUAUGACUGAAGUUUGGACCAUUUAGCUUAUCUUCACAUCAGAGAUAGUAAAUUAGAUCUCAUCAAUUUUAACCAUAGCUACAUGAUAAAGUUUUCAUUUGCAAAUAAUGAUUAUUGAUGCAAUUAUUUUUAUCUUAUCUCUCCCAGUAGCUAAGUUCCAGGAGGGGACAGCUAUGCUAUAUCACUUAGGAAAUGUUAAAAACAUUUUUUUGAAUGAGUCAAUUCUACUUUGAAUUCCAUCUUAAAACUGAUUUAAUCAUUUAGGACACUGGACAGGGCAAUGUGAGUUAACAAAAGAGUUCAACUGAAUUCACCUUACUUUCAGGACAAUCGUUAGUCAUUUUUAAAUUGUUAGCUGAAUACAUUCACCACCUCUUUUUGCUACUGAACACAAGUUUGGGUGCCUGACACAGUGAGGCCUAACAAAACAAUAUUUUCAGACCUCUGAGGAACUCAAUGUCUAACAGCUUUCUAUAAUUCAGAAUGAGAAAUUAUAUGCUGAAAGCAUACAUAGAUUGGGAAAAUGUGUAGGAGGGAAAGGAGCAUUUCAGAAGAUCCAUGAAGCAGAUAACAUGUGAAUUGAAUUAGAAGAAUGCAAAGGAGUUGGUGAAGAUAAUCAGCUGGGUGUUUGGGUGGUUGAGGGGGAAGAUUUCCAGGUAAGGAAGACACCCUAGGCAAGGACCUGGAGCUAUGAAAGAACCUGACCAAUUGAGGAAACUAAGUUCUAUAGCUUAAGUAGUAGAGCUCAAGAGCUUCUGGACAGUGGCAGGAAAUGAGGCAUGGAAGGAUAACUCUUUCAAGACUACAAGUCUCUUUCUAAUGAAACAGACCUUUGUAAUAAUGAGAAGUAAAUCAAGGAUUUGCAACAGGAAAUUUUCAUGAUUGGAUUUUGUUUUGUUGUUGUUUUUAGGAGAGUCAGUUUGCUGAUGAAAACAGGUAUGAAUGAGGAGAUUAAGACGUGUCAGGAAAACAGAUAUUCGUCAACUUAAGAUGGGGCCAUAUCUUAAUAAACUCAUCAUCAGUUGAAAAUAUAAUAAGACAAAAGUGUACUUAAUGCAUCUAACUUGCCCAACAUCAUAGCAUAGUCUGGCCUACCUUAAAUAUGCUUAGAACACAAUAGCCUGCGGUUGGACAAAAUCAUCUAACACAAGGUCUAUUUUAUAAUAAAGUGUUGACUAUGUCAUGUAAUGUAUUGAAUACUGUGCAGGAUGGUUGUAUGAGUACAGGGUGUUUAUAAAUGUGUUGGUUGUUUUCUAUACUGAUUAUGUGACUGAAUGGGAGCUGUGGCUGGUGCUACUGCCCAGCAUCAUGAGAGAGUAUUGUACUACAUAUUGCUAGCCCAGAAAAAAGAUCCAAAAUUCAAAUUUAAAGUAUGAUUUCCACCGAAAGCAGAUCACUUUCACACCAUCAUAAUAUUGAAAAAUUUCGAACCAUGUUAAGUUUUGGAGGCUGUCCACAUGUUGCAGAGUCCAGGGUAGAGAUUGUGUUGGCAGGCUUUAAGGGACAGAGGAAAAGAAUAUAAAAUAACCUAUAAAAUAAGAAGUAUUGUUGAUAGGAUGGGGUUACUGAUAAGAUAGAAAACGAUGUAAAAAAGGAGGAGUAAAAAGGGCGACCUUAAGGGACAAAGGGUCAUUUUUGAUGGAAAAUCAGAAAACCUAGGUCUCAUGUGAGGCAGCUUGUGAAGGAUGGAUGGAUGGGUAAGUUUUCAAUAGGCACCAGUGGGAGAAAACAGUGCUUUAGGUAGAAGGACUCUGUAUGUGCAUAAGCAGCAAUCUAAAGAGGCAGAUGUAGGAAAGAGUAAUUUGGGUUGCUGUUUGGUCAGCUCAGCCAAAUGUUCCAAUCAGGUACCACCAUGCAAAAUGGGUUUAUGUUUUAUUCACUUGGCACUUUCAAUUAAACCACUUGCCUAUAUUGAUGAGUUACUAUGAUCUACUUGGUUUUAUCUAGUAAUAUUUCAUAAUAAAUGAGAAAAUUAGGGCAGAUCCUAUUACUCCAUAGUAUUUUAAUUACUUUAUGUCAAAAAUUGAAAAAGGAGUAGGCAUGAUAGAUGGUAACAUACUACUGGUAUCAUUAAGUCAGGUUGCAGACUCAUUUGUCUAACAGUCAUGGCCAAAUUAUUAAAGGGUAUGGGACUUCCACAGAGCCAGCUGGCUGGAAGAUAAAUGAAGAUGAGAACCUUUGGCACCCAUAGUAUCUGUUUUGAAAAUAAACAUUUUCUAGUAAGAGAAGAAAGGAAUUGCAUAGAUUAAUUUCCACUUGAUACCCCCUAGUUGCCCUCUCUGCCCUUAUCUUCUUUGCUGUGUGUAUGGAGGGCCCGGACUCUAGAACUCUAUCUCCCAUAUUUCCUUGUCUUCUGGUUUAUGAUUAGAUUCACCCAGGGGGACUUAUCAGAAGGUCCUCAGAGGGUAAGAGAAAACAGAGGUCACAACAUUCAUUCCUUUCCCUGCUCCUUGCCUGAAUCAUCACCACACUCGUAGAAGUGGGUCAGUCACCCCAGGACUCUUGAUCCUGUUGGCCAUCUCUGCUCUGUGGUAACAGGGUUCACCGAGCUCCAGAAAUACUCUUUUCUUCUCUUGCCCAUUCAAAGUCAUACCUCUUUUCAUGACAAGACUGACCUCUCUAAACUCUGUAUGCUCCCCUAUAAAUUCUUAAUUAAAUUCUUGCCAAAGAAAUCAUGGUAUGAAUUUCUGUUUAAGACUAAGCCUCAAAAAACAAUUGUCAUUUAUUGAAUUCCUAUGUGGUAUCAUGCUAAUGACUCUCACAUUCACUAUCUCAAUCUUUAUAUUAUCACUGAGCGUGUGAAAAAUUCACUCCUAUGUUUACUGAUGUAGAAACAUAAGCUCAUACAGAUCUUUUCCAAUGUUUAAUAGAGAGGAAACAGAUAAGACGCACCCAGAGCACAAACUCUUACACAAUUUGCAUUAUCUUUCGAUAGAAUUAUCCUUAGGUACUUCAUAAUUUGAUGAAAUUAUAGCUGGCAUGCUUUUAAAAUUAUACUUUCAGUGUUCACUGCUAGUGUACAGAAAUAUAAUCACUAUAUAUUCUUGUAUCUUGCAACUCUGUAAAAUCUCUUAGAAGUUUUUUUUUUGUAAAUUUCACAUGAUUAUGAACAUAGAUGAUUAUGCCACCUUUACAAUCUGGAUACUACUUAUAUUUAUUUCCUUGCAUAUUAGCAUGGCUAAAACCUUAGGUACAAAGCUGAAUGAUUAGAAUUGAUGAGGGGAAAUAUCUUUACUUUGGGGGAUGGGGUUAACUCAGUCUUGGGCUAUAGAUUUUGUUUAUAGAUUCAUUAUGUGAGGUUAAGGAAACUCCAUUCUGUUCCUAGUUUGAUGAGGUUUUAUCAGGAGUGGAUAAUGAAUUUUGCAAGUACUUUUUCUGCAUCUAUUAAGAUGAUCAUAUCAUUUUUCUCUGUAGUUCUGUCAAGUUUUUAGGAUGUAUUUCAAGGUGGUAUUAUUAGUUGCCCAAUCUAGCCCAUUAUCAUAUAUACGAAAAUUCUAAAUGUAUGAGUAUUAGCUAAAUUCAUCAAUAAAUGAAAGAAAAAUAUCCCCAAAUCAUGAUGAAGUUUGUCCUUUUCCCAAGAAUACAAAAUUAGUUUAACCAUUGUAAGUCAGUCAGUGUAAUUCAACACACUACUAGAAUAAAGGAAAAAAGGCUAUGAUUAAUGAACCUCAAUAGGUACAGGAAAAACAAUUGCUAAAAUUUAACUCCGAUUCAUAACAGAAACUACCGAGAAAUUAGAAAUAGGCAGAAAUGUUCUUAUUUUUAUAUCAGGUACCUAUAGAAAAAAAUCUAACAGUAAAUGUCUGUUAAUAAUCAUUAAUAAAAUUUUCUCCCUUGAGUCAGUAACAAGACAAGGAGGACUUCUAUUGCCAUUUCUAUUAUGAUAGAGGGUAUCCUAUCCAGAAUUAAGAUUGAAAAGUAACUAAAAAGCAAAAUAAUUGUAAGGGGCGAAAUAGGUACAAGUUUUAUUAAAAAAAAUCCCACUAUCAUUUAUGUAGAAAACAAUAUAUAGUUUGUAGACACCAAAGUGAUUUAAAAUAGUCUCUAUACACA